ensembl:snoRNA
UGGCCCAUGGAUGAUGACUGGUGGCUUUGAGUCAGGGACAGUGAGUGAAAUGUAUCUGGAAUUCUGAAGUCCAG